CCUACGGGUGGCUGCAGUGGGGAAUAUUGGACAAUGGGCGAAAGCCUGAUCCAGCCAUGCCGCGUGUGUGAAGAAGGCCUUCGGGUUGUAAAGCACUUUCAGUGGGGAAGAAAGCCUUGGGGCUAAUACCCUCGAGGAAGGACAUCACCCACAGAAGAAGCACCGGCUAACUCCGUGCCAGCAGCCGCGGUAAUACGGAGGGGGCGAGCGUUAAUCGGAAUUACUGGGCGUAAAGCGCGCGUAGGCGGUCUGAUAAGCCGGUUGUGAAAGCCCCGGGCUCAACCUGGGAACGGCAUCCGGAACUGUCAGGCUAGAGUGCAGGAGAGGAAGGUAGAAUUCCCGGUGUAGCGGUGAAAUGCGUAGAGAUCGGGAGGAAUAACAGUGGCGAAGGCGGCCUUCUGGACUGACACUGACGCUGAGGUGCGAAAGCGUGGGUAGCAAACAGGAUUAGAUACCCCAGUAGUC
rnacentral:rRNA from 1 species